rnacentral:lncRNA from 1 species
GAACAGGAGAAUGCUGGGGGUCAAAGGUCAGGGACAAGCUGUGUUUCUUAGCUGGACAUAGCAAUCAAAAAUUAGCAGGCCUGCACGUUAGUUACUGCCCAUAACUGGAUAAGGCCAACCCAGCCUGAACAUUGAGCUUGAACAAAGAACACAGGAUGGCGUGGUGUUGGCCACGGCAGAAUUCCCACUUCGACACCAAGACAAUCUUCCUGCUGUUGCUGAGUUUUAUGACUAUGAUGUCAUCGAAUGCUGCCAACAACAGUGCUGUUAUAUCACAAAUGAAAAGGUCUUCAAACGAACUGAGGGACCCCAUUAUGCCAAGACUGGAGCUUGUCAUAAAAAUCAUCAGUCAUUGAUGUCUGUGAGCUUCUGAGUUGGGCCUUGAGGGAAAAGAACUGUGAAAUUUGGGUUCAAUUUAGUUGUUUUGAUCUGGACUUCUUUAUGAGUAGGGAGAAUUAAAUUGGCCACAUGUGACCUUGUAUUUAGAGGAAAUCAAAUCACUCAAACAAGAUAAUUUAGCUCCUUGCUCAACAAUUCCUCCUUUUCUCUUCAACUCCAGGGUUAUUGAUUGAGGUCCUGCCUGAAUACAUUUUACUAGAGUUUAGAGAAUUGUAAUAGUUGCAUUGUUUCUCUGGUUACAACCUCAAAAUGCACUGCAGAUUUCUUCAACUGAAAUUGCUCCAAUGUUAAUAUGUUGUGGGAAUGAAAGACUGAUUUCAGCACUUAAGCUACACCACCAGAGGAAACAGCAGUGAGGAGAAACCAAGCGCGAUCAUGGGACAAGAGGUCUUUUCUUCCUGUCUUCAUCUGCUGAUCUGCUCACCUGAUAUUCACUGAGCACCAAGUUUAUGCCAGUGUCAGCUUAAUUUUGUGUAAAUAGUCUGGAAACAUGAUUUUCAUCACAGCAAGCAAAACUUGUAUAGACAUGUUUGUAAGAGGAUAUUUAUACACCACCCCAGAAUCAACCUGCCUGGACUCAAAAGCAGACAAAACCCAGAAGUAAACAGCAGAUAGAGAUGGAAAAAGCUCCAGAAGAAUUUCUCUCCUACAGAUUUAAGAGGAGAAAAUGAGACUCCUAAGUGUCAUAAAGAAUGUGUGUAGGUGGGAUAUCCUCUUUUUUUCUUCUGUUCUUUCCCAUCCAGCCCCAAGACAAUAAUAUGAUGGCAUGGUAGAGGUGAAGAUAAUGGGAGCAGUGGCUCUAGGGACCCCUCUAUGUGAAGAGAAUAUAUUCUGGCCAGGGGAGCUGUACUCACAAAAGUGACUUUAUUAUUAAAGUGCUGAAAAAAAGA